GGGUCAUGGUGGUGGAACUGUAGUACCAGGACUGUUACCAUCACAGACAAGCCCACAAUCAUCAUGGUGCUAGCAAAGUACUGAGCUGCGAGAGGAGAAGAGCACAUAAGUAUAGCACAGCAAUUUCCAUUUGGAAUAGAGAACAAUGAAUAACUGUGAAUGAAAAGCUCAUGCAUACAGCACAAGAAGAAACACGAGAGGUGAGCGUAGUACUUUGGCAGGACAGGACUGUUGCCAUGUCAGUUUGUCAGUUGGUUAGUCAGUGGGGAGUUUACCCCUGUCAACAAAUCUGAGGUCAUACCACCGCGGGGGACAGUGGGAGGAUGACUAACAUUUUACUUCCAAAUGUACAAACCAACCAAAACACAUACACACGCUUGUGGGCAUUUGAAGUCACAGAAACAUGAACAUGCAUAACAUAUGCAUGUAGACAAGCACAUGACCCCGUCCACAUACACCUUAAUACACAAACAUAAGAUAUACUCCCCCAUAAAGUAAUUUAAUUUUGAUCCGGCUGUGAUUUUAGCGACCAAUCAAAUUUUUUUCAGCAUACAUUUCCAUGUCAAAAUAUAAUUGGAGCUGUGUGAAAACGUGUCAAAAUGAUCCUUGAGGAGUAUUUUAUUUAUUUAUGUCUUCAAUCCAUCAGUUCUGCUCCGCCUGCAAUGUGUUAAUACGUCUAAUCCAAUAAAGGGGAGUUUACUAAUGGCUUCGUUUUACAUCACUGAGCUGCCAAAUGACACCGAGCAGCAUCUCUGUCUGCAGGACUCCCCUCUCAUCCUCUGGUCUGUAUCAGUAUGGUCAAUGCAACUCUGUUGGUCUUCUACUGUGAGAAUAAUCUUUACUUCCUGUAUCAGCAUCCUCCCACAUCCAGCCGCUACAGGCUGCCCUGCGGUGAAUAUGAGGUGGGAAUAUCUCGUCAGUAAGUCAUUCCGCGUUUUUUUGACACCUAAUCUAUAGUUGAUGAGGAAAAGUCUCCACACUGACCCAGCAACAAUGCUGCAUGCUGUAGCGAUGUGUAGCCUGUCCAGCAUGUGCCUAUGGCUCCCUGAUUAUGGUCAGAAUCAGGUGCAAGGUGGGAAAAAAUAAAUUUAAAAAAUAUAACUUUUUUAUUUUGCAAAAGGACUGAGCCCAUCACUUUUAAAAUUAAAAAAAUCAUGAGUUUUAAUGUAGAAUACUUCCCCGGAUUCUGCAUUGUCUCAUUACAGUUUUCCAAACUGGUUAAAUGUACAGCCUUAAAGGCAGGGUGGGCAAUCUUGAAAAACUAGCAAGAGUACACUAUAUUUUUUAAAAUGAUCCAGCCAAAAAAACAAGCCCAGUGUUGCCAACUCUAUUUCAAUGAAAGUAGUUAGCAGCUCCAAAAGUCCCUAAAUCUAGUGAGAACGUUGCCAAGUCAGUAAUACUGACAGUCCGUCACUUCAGGCCUCCCUCCAAAGCUACUCCACCAAAAUUACCAUUAUCAGUUCAGUUCAGUUCAUCUUCAUUGGCAGACUCGAAGUCCAUUAAAAAAAAGCAUACAACACAAAUAACAACACAAAAAUUAAAUAGAAACUGACACUUUUUUAUAAAAGGCAGUUACAACAAUGUUUCCACAGGUGUGACUGGUAUCGUAAAACACUAAAACUAGGAUUCGACAGUAGCAUGAUAAUGGCGUUCUGAGAAUAAUUUAGCCGACAUAUAUAUUUCUACAUCCGAUUUCUCAAUAGAGGCUGGAACGUGUUGACUACUGCGUUACAGAACAGGUCACUUGCACUACACCAGCUGGGUUUUUUAAGUAAUAUCCACAUGCAGUCAUUGUAGGCAACCUGAAGCUCAUGCAUGCUCGCCUUUUUAAACUUGGCCCACGGGGGGCAGUAUAGAGAGGAGUGCAAUAGGCUCUACAGAGACUUAUCUUGACAUGAUCUGAACACAUGUAGAAUGUUCUUGCCAGCCUGUUCAUUAUGAACAUAAACAUAUUAUAAUGAAUGUAAACAACUAAUAUGGCUAUUGUUAGUACUAACAGCUGCCAAGCUAGCAGGCUGUGGAAGACUCCGUGACGCACAAUGAGUGUACGGGUAGCUCAUCCAAUCAUUACAUUCUGACAGAAUGAAAUGAUUGGAUUACAGUCCUGCGACAGCCACAGAUACCAUAAUUUGUUCUCUUUUUUUUUGUCAGAGCAUUUGAUUUAUUGAUUGCUGUCGGGAUGUAAUGAGAAUUUCAACUAACAAAAUAUGUUUCUAUAAUCUUUACCAACCCUGCCUUUAAAGGAACCUUUCAGCAUUUUGAGGGCUUAACAUUUCAUAGACUUACAAAGACGAGAGGGAAAAGGAAAGAGGCUGGAGGGAAUUAACAGAAAGAUCGGGAGUCUCUGCAGGGAGCAGGAAGACCAGCAGGGCCAGACCAGAGAUGAGCACGCAGGGAAUGAGCAGGUUGAGGCCGUAGUAAAGUGUCCUGCGUCGCAUGGUGACCGUGAAUGUCACAUCGGGGUAGGGCUCCUUACAGCAGUCGUAAUACAGCUCAUUACGCUUCGCCGGCACACCUGGGGGAGACAUGAAGAGAUCCCAUUCCCCGUUGGGUAUGUAGGUGGAGAUGUCCACGUCCAUCAUCUGGAGGUCCAGCAGCCAGCCGUUGUGGGUCCAGGAGCCAAACUUGAGGUCACACUUCUGCACAUCGAAUGGGAACCACCGCACAUCGAUGUAGCAGAUUCUGGAGGAAAGCUAGCUCGAGGAAAACGUGCAAACAACCCUUAAAGUGUUUCUGAUGCAUCACAGAGGGAUACAUCAAAUUACUGUAAAAGUCCAGAGGCACAAAAAUAAAAAAUGGAA